UACGUAGGGUGCGAGCGUUGUCCGGAAUUAUUGGGCGUAAAGGGCUCGUAGGCGGCCAACUAAGUCGGAUGUGAAAUCCCCAGGCUUAACCUGGGAACUGCAUCCGAUACUGGAUGGCUUGAAUCCGGGAGAGGGAUGCAGAAUUCCAGGUGUAGCGGUGAAAUGCGUAGAUAUCUGGAGGAAUACCGGUGGCGAAGGCGGCAUCCUGGACCGGCAUUGACGCUGAGUGAGCGAAAGCCAGGGGAGCAAACGGG
rnacentral:rRNA from 1 species